GAAGAAGCGCAUACGGUGGAUGCCUUGGCAGUCAGAGGCGAUGAAAGACGUGGUAGCCUGCGAUAAGCUUUGGGGAGUCGGCAAACAGACUGUGAUCCAGAGAUCUCUGAAUGGGGGAACCCACUCAGCAUAAGCUGAGUAUCUUGUACUGAAUACAUAGGUGCAAGAGGCGAACCAGGGGAACUGAAACAUCUAAGUACCCUGAGGAAAAGAAAUCAACCGAGAUUCCCUUAGUAGUGGCGAGCGAACGGGGACUAGCCCUUAAGUGGCUUUGAGAUUAGCGGAACGCUCUGGAAAGUGCGGCCAUAGUGGGUGAUAGCCCUGUACGCGAAAAUCUCUUAGUCAUGAAAUCGAGUAGGACGGAGCACGAGAAACUUUGUCUGAAUAUGGGGGGACCAUCCUCCAAGGCUAAAUACUACUGACUGACCGAUAGUGAACCAGUACCGUGAGGGAAAGGCGAAAAGAACCCCGGAGAGGGGAGUGAAAUAGAUCCUGAAACCGUAUGCGUACAAGCAGUGGGAGCCUACUUUGUUAGGUGACUGCGUACCUUUUGUAUAAUGGGUCAGCGACUUAUAUUCAGUGGCGAGCUUAACCGAAUAGGGGAGGCGUAGCGAAAGCGAGUCUUAAUAGGGCGUUUAGUCGCUGGGUAUAGACCCGAAACCGGGCGAUCUAUCCAUGGGCAGGUUGAAGGUUGGGUAACACUAACUGGAGGACCGAACC
rnacentral:rRNA from 1 species